GCUAAGGAAUGCAUAGCAUAGUAUAAACAAGUGAUAAGAAGAAUAUAAUCAAAUCUAAACACAGACAAUUGUGACAGAGAAGAUUAAAUAAUAAUAUUUAACUGUCUAUAUAUAUAAGGUACCAUUGUAUGGAAAAGGGUAAACUUAGUUCAUGAUCUGCCAUAUCAGAAAUUAUAGCAGAUUUGCCAGACACAUAGUCUGGACAAAAUUUAAGAAACCCUUUGAAAUUUAAAUUAUGGCACUAUAAAGAUAACGCAAAAUGACGUCAAAAUAGCCACCAGGAAAAGUUAACUCUUUCCUGGAUAGGUAUGUUUAGUAGGACAAGACUGCCCUCUAUAGACCAAAUACCUAAUUUGCGAUCUGGAAGAUAACCACACCUCUAGUGCUUCUAUUGGGUUAUCAACUGAUGACGUACAGAGAGUCUGGCCCUUUAAAAGUUAAGACAAAGGGAAGAUAGAGGUAUAGGCAAGGGAGGCAGGAGAUGCAAAGGAGAGGAGAGAGGAAUUGGAAGUUUGGGGAUUCCAACUCGGACAACAUCUGAGACUAACACUCUACUCCUAAAACUCUAACACUUAGAAUUUACUGACUUUCUAACCAACACCUCCAUGCAGAGACACAUCCAAAUAAGUUCCUGAGACUACCAAUCGGAUGAAAUAUCUACUCAACUGGUAAUUAUACUGGUUUCAUUUAAUUAAAUUAAUUAAAAUGUAUUAAUAGCAUGAUAUAUGACUAGGAUAAAG